GUGGGCCGUGCCAGGGCACGGUGCUGUGCCAGGAGCCGGUGCUGUCCCCAGGUGAUAGUGCUGUGCCAGGGAAUGGCCUCAGCCCUCCUCAGAGCAGCGUGCUGGGUGCUGGCCAGGUGCCACCUCCCCUGAACGCCGCGCGGCCCUACCGCGGUCUCUGCUUCAGGAAUCUCAGAUGGAGGAAUUGAGCAGAAUACAUGGGGAAUUUGCUUUCAGAACUGAAGCUCAGCAGGACUUGGUUCUCUCCACGAGUGACAGAAUCCUUCACAGUGAGUUCCCAGCAUAUUGAAAACUUUCAAAGGAUGAAAUGGCUUGGUUUGGCACAUCUGAAGAGCCUGAAUUAAUCCCCUGGUUAGAGCAUUUGAGCACUGCUGAUGUGGAACAGCACAGCCAGCAACGUAAAGAUUUCAAGAUGGUUAAUUCCAAGGAAACAAGAAACUUCAGGUGGACAUGGAAGGAGAAUUUAAACAAACUGACAGUUUGUCUUCAGAGGAUCUCCCUGCAGACCUCAAAUUAUUUCAAGGUAAACUCCUGGAACUGUUUGAUGGUCAUCCUGUGAUCCACGUAAUGUUCUACUAGUUCAGGAGGGCAGAGAAGAAUGAUGUGUCCAAGCAAGAACUUGGACUGCUCUGAAGGCACAAAGCUCUUCAUCUCAUGUGCAACCUGGUGUGGGACAUCCCAGCUCUAAGAGCUUCCUUCCAAUAAAUCCCCUUGAUGCAGUUGGUUUUCUGGGAAGGGAAGAAGCAGGGAGGCAAAGCUGAGUCGAUUUUUAAAUGAAGCCACUACCAAUUCCUAUCCAUUAGACCUACAAACUCUUCAGCUUUCUAGACAUUUCUUCCGACCUCUGUCAUGGAGAACUUCACCGUGAAGACGCAAAAUGCAGACGGAUUGACAACCAAAGCCCCGCAUGUACUUUCUCCCACAUGUCCAACUCGUAGAUGAAGAUUUUACACCAUGAGCAAUUGAGAAGGUCAUAUUCCAAACAUCUCACAUGACAAGGAAUGAACAGCCACACUUCUUACCUGUUCUGGUGGAGACAAGUCUUCCAUGUUGUACAACGCUAAGCAAAAGUAGCUCAAAUGGAGUAACAAAGAAAGGAAGUGAUUCAGAGGCUUUGAACCACAGGACCAACAAUUCACAUCCAUCCACGCAAACGCCGGCAAAAUGACUGGGCCUAACACUGCCUGCAAACUGGGCUGUGUGUUCCCUCACAGAACUCCUGCACACCAGGUUACUCCUCGAGCAACCUCUCUGGGAUGCCACACAGUGGUACUCAGUGCACAGCCCACGACCAACGGCCAAACGUCACCGUCUUGUGACGCAAAGAUCAGAAACAGCCGAAUUUUUUAACGACGCGUCAGAGCUAAACCAGCAUGGCCACCAUUAGUCUGAGACACACCAGCUUUAUUUCCUUCUAGAACUAAUUGAAACAUCUGAAGAAAACUCGGACAACACCAGGCAAAGAUCCUCCAUGCAUCCCAGAAACUACUCAUACUAAAGUUGUGUCGCUAACUUUUUUGUGUCAAAGUUGUUCUUCACAGAACUCCCACUGGCUAUUCCAGAGUCACAACAGCAACACAGGUGACAUGCAAUAUCCUUAAAAUUACAAAGUUAAAUGGCAGAUACCCCAAAAAGGAGAGAAAAAACACCAAUGGUACUAUUCAGAUCAUCAUGUACUUCCAAUAAUUUAACACCUUGGAGGAGAGCUGAAGUGCUGUUCACUUCAGAGGAGGUCUGUGUCACACACAGCAAAAUACAGCCCUAGUAGAGCAAUGUCAUCCCUUAACUAUGACCUCUGUCAAAGACUUUGAAAGACAAUGAAAGUAAAAACUGCCUACGUGAAACCUCUCAGAUCCUCGACGUCUUGCUCCUGAGACCCUACAGCUGAUCAUCAAGAUCAUCAAACGUGGAGUAAGUCCAACCAACCACAGCAGCAGCUCCACACCCAAGCACACCCUGAUGGUUGAGCAGUGCCUAUCAUCAGCACACAGCUCCAACUGGAAGGUGAUGGUUUCAGUCCUAGCCCUUAAACUGUGCUCUCCAGAGAACCACAACACAAACAGCCAUUUCACCAGGAAACACCAGGAGCCUGAGGAGGUGCUCCAGACCAAGAAGUGUAGGACAUCCAGUCACGUUUGGUGUCUUUAGAUGAUAGACUUCCACCCUGGUUCCACUUACUGGAACAGGAUAUUUCAAACCACCA